GCCGGUAAGAAUAAGAUUUUGCUAAUUCAAUUAACCAUAAUAAAAUUUGCUUAUCAUUCGGAUCCCGACUUAGUCUGUUAUUUUUAGAUUCUGGUUCGGUCAAAACUCAUCUCAUGCUUUUCUUUGGGUGAUUGACAUUGAUAUCAACUGUGCCGUCUCGAUUUGGAUUAUCCAUCUUAAAACUAUUCUAAGUUUUAGCACAGCUCAAAAUACUAUAGCCAGAUUAAAAUAUUUAGCUCUACUACACCUUACAUAUAAAACUAUUCCAC
rnacentral:lncRNA from 1 species